UCAAGUUAAAACACUGGUUAUCAUACAAUCACCGAAGUUAAGCAACGCCGAGCCUGUUCGGUAUUUUGAUGGGUAACAGCUUGGGGAUACCAGGUGCUGUAAG